GCCCCCCGAAUUGUAGUCUGGAGAGGCGUCAUCGGUCGCAGCCCGCGCUAAAAUCCCUUGGAACGGGGUAUCGGAGAAGGUGAGAAUCCUGUGCCGCGCGGGCGUGCGGUCGCACGAUGCGUUCUCGUAGAGUCGGGCUGCUUGGGAGUGCAGUCUGAAGCGGGUGGUAAAUUCCAUCUAAAGCUAAAUAUUGGCGAGAGACCGAUAGCGAACAAGUACCGUGAGGGAAAGAUGCAAAGAACUUUGAAAAGAGAGUUAAAGAGUGCUUGAAAUUGGCAGGAGGAAACCCGGUUGCGUGUGGCAAGGCGCCGUCGACUCAGCCGUGGUCGGAGGCAUGUAGGGGAUCUCACGACUCCGUUGCCGUUGACCGCGGUGCACUUCGGCGGUGCGGGUCAGCCGCGGCUCUGGGCGCACAAGACGGCUGUGGGGUGGUCUUCGGACGCCGCUCGGUGAGGGUGCGCUCGGGGUGUCGGCUGAUGUGCACGGACGCAACCGACCCGUCUAGAAACACGGACCAAGGAGUCUGACGUGUGUGCGAGUACUAGGGUGGCAAGCCCGCGUGCGCAAUGAAAGUGAAGGGCGUGCCUCGUCAACCGACCUAGAUCUUCUGUGAAGGGUUUGAGUGGAGCACACGUGUCGGGACCCGAAAGAUGGUGAACUAUGCCUGAGGAGGGUGAAGCCAGUGGAAACUCUGGUGGAGGCUCGUAGCGAUACUGACGUGCAAAUCGUUCGUCGAACUUGGGUAUAGGGGCGAAAGACUAAUCGAACCAUCUAGUAGCUGGUUCCCUCCGAAGUUUCCCUCAGGAUAGCUUGAACGCCGACGGUUUUGU
rnacentral:rRNA from 1 species